GCAGUCGAGCGAAUGGAUUAAGAGCUUGCUCUUAUGAAGUUAGCGGCGGACGGGUGAGUAACACGUGGGUAACCUACCCAUAAGACUGGGAUAACUCCGGGAAACCGGGGCUAAUACCGGAUAAUAUUUUGAACUGCAUAGUUCGAAAUUGAAAGGCGGCUUCGGCUGUCACUUAUGGAUGGACCCGCGUCGCAUUAGCUAGUUGGUGAGGUAACGGCUCACCAAGGCGACGAUGCGUAGCCGACCUGAGAGGGUGAUCGGCCACACUGGGACUGAGACACGGCCCAGACUCCUACGGGAGGCAGCAGUAGGGAAUCUUCCGCAAUGGACGAAAGUCUGACGGAGCAACGCCGCGUGAGUGAUGAAGGCUUUCGGGUCGUAAAACUCUGUUGUUAGGGAAGAACAAGUGCUAGUUGAAUAAGCUGGCACCUUGACGGUACCUAACCAGAAAGCCACGGCUAACUACGUGCCAGCAGCCGCGGUAAUACGUAGGUGGCAAGCGUUAUCCGGAAUUAUUGGGCGUAAAGCGCGCGCAGGUGGUUUCUUAAGUCUGAUGUGAAAGCCCACGGCUCAACCGUGGAGGGUCAUUGGAAACUGGGAGACUUGAGUGCAGAAGAGGAAAGUGGAAUUCCAUGUGUAGCGGUGAAAUGCGUAGAGAUAUGGAGGAACACCAGUGGCGAAAGCGACUUUCUGGUCUGUAACUGACACUGAGGCGCGAAAGCG
rnacentral:rRNA from 1 species